rnacentral:rRNA from 1 species
AGCUCCAAUAGCGUAUAUUAAAGUUGUUGCAGUUAAAAAGCUCGUAGUUGGAUUUCUGGUGGGGGCCGCUGGUCCGCCGCGCAAGCGGCGUGACCGAUGCGUGCCUACCGCCAUCCUCGGGGGGGCUUCGCGUGGGAUUAGUUUCUCGUGCGUUUGUCGACCCGUCUUUUACUGUGAAAAAAUUAGAGUGUUCAAAGCAGGCUGAGGCCGUUGAAUACAUUAGCAUGGAAUAAUGAGAUAGGACCUUGGCGGUCUAUUUUGUUGGUUUGCACGCCAAGGUAAUGAUUAAUAGGGAUAGUUGGGGGUAUUCGUAUUCAAUUGUCAGAGGUGAAAUUCUUAGAUUUAUGGAAGACGAACUACUGCGAAAGCAUUUACCAAGGAUGUUUUCAUUAAUCAAGAA